AGUGAACGUUGGCGGCGUGGAUUAGGCAUGCAAGUCGAGCGAGAACCGUAGCAAUACGGGGACAGCGGCGAAAGGGACAGUAAUGUGUAGGUACCUACCCCGAGGUCUGGGAUAGCUGCGGGAAACUGCAGGUAAUACCGGAUAAUGUCUUAGGACCAAAGGUGUGAUUCCACCUUGGGAGGGGCCUGCAUCCUAUUAGCUUGUUGGCGGGGUAACGGCCCACCAAGGCAACGAUGGGUAGCGGGUGUGAGAGCACGACCCGCGUCAUUGGGACUGAGAUACUGCCCAGACACCUACGGGUGGCUGCAGUCGAGGAUCUUCGGCAAUGGGCGAAAGCCUGACCGAGCGACGCCGCGUGCGGGAUGAAGGCUUCGGGUUGUAAACCGCUGUCGUAGAGGAGGAAGUGCAAGAGGUCUCCUUUGUUGACCUAUCU
rnacentral:rRNA from 1 species